rnacentral:rRNA from 1 species
GGGGAAUCUUGCACAAUGGGCGAAAGCCUGAUGCAGCGACGCCGCGUGAGGGAUGACUGCCUUCGGGUUGUAAACCUCUUUCAGCAGGGACGAAGCGAAAGUGACGGUACCUGCAGAAGAAGCACCGGCCAACUACGUGCCAGCAGCCGCGGUAAUACGUAGGGUGCAAGCGUUGUCCGGAAUUAUUGGGCGUAAAGAGCUCGUAGGCGGUUUGUCGCGUCGGCUGCGAAAACCUGGGGCUCAACCCCGGGCCUGCAGCCGAUACGGGCAAACUAGAAUUCGGUAGGGGAGACUGGAAUUCCUGGUGUAGCGGUGAAAUGCGCAGAUAUCAGGAGGAACACCGGUGGCGAAGGCGGGUCUCUGGGCCGAUAUUGACGCUGAGGAGCGAAAGCGUGGGGAGCGAAC